AUCCUGUUGAUCUGUGACCUUACCCCCAACCCUGUGCUCUCUGAAACAUGUGCUGUGUCCACUCAGGAUUGAAUGGAUUAAGGGUGGUGCAAGAUGUGCUUUGUUAAACAGAUGCUUGAAGGCAGCAUGCUCCUUAAGAGUCAUCACCACUCCCUAAUCUCAAGUACCCAGGGACACAAACACUGCGGAAGGCCGCAGGGUCCUCUGCCUAGGAAAACCAGAGACCUUUGUUCACUUAUCUGCUGACCUUCCCUCCACUAUUGUCCUGUGACCCUGCCAAAUCCCCCUCUGCGAGAAACACCCAAGAAUGAUCAAUAAAAAAAAAAAAAAGAAAGAAAAAGAAAAUUGGAAAGGCUUCAGGAUUGUCAGUUAAAUAUAAUUGUUUUUGCCUGGGUCUACUGACAGACAGGUUUACAUUGUCUCUAUUACUUUUUUUUUUUUUUUUUUUUUUUUUUUUAAUUUGUUUUUUGUUUUUGAGCUGGAGUUUUGCUCUCAUUGCCCAGGCUGGAGUGCAGUGGUGAGAUCUCAGCUCACCACAACUUCCGUCUCCCAGGUUCAAGUGAUUCUCCUGCCUCAGCCUUCCGAAUAGCUAAACUACAGGUGUAUGCCACCAUACUUGGCUAAUUUUUGUGUUUGUAGUAGAAACAGGAUUUCACCAUGUUGGCUAGGCUGGUCUCGAACUCCUGACCUCAAGUGAUCUGCCCACCUUGGCCUCCCAAAGUGCUGGGAUUACAGGCAUGGGCCACCGUGCCCAGCCUAUUACAUGUUUUAAGGUCAUAAAACUGCUACUUCUGGAAUAUUUCUUAAACUUGCUUGAUUUGUCUAAAUUGAGCUAAAGCUGUAAGGUCUGGCUGCUGGGCUCCCUGAAACCUUGCACAUAUCUUACUGUAUGACUGUAUUUCGUUUUGAGUCUCUGGAUUCUGGGGUUUGGACAGAUGACCAUAGUGAGGCCUGCAGAAAUAUAUGCAUGUCCUCAGUGUUUGGACUGCCAGCUGCAAGGCAGAGCCAAACCCAAUAUGGCCCCAUCAUCCCUGGCUCAGCUGUGCUACCUGGCCAUGCUGGAAGGGGUUUGAUCUUCCAGGAAUUUGCUUCACAGCUCUUUCCUGUCCCAAGCUCUAUGCCUGAUGUGUAAAUUCAGGACCCAAAAGGGCACAAAAAAGCAAUAACUACUAAAUAUAAAGAAAACAACUCUGUAUACAGCAUGUAUAAAGAAAAGCAAGAUAUAUUUGGGGAGAUAAAAGUUGUAAAGGCAUUAAGAUGUGUGUUUGUUGAGAAAAAAUAAAUUUGUGCAUUUAAGAAGUUAAAAAAAAAAAUAACAGGUGGGACUGUUGGGGCUUCUAGGAAAUUAGCUAGCCAUCAGCUUGCUACCUUAGAUUCUUGGCAUUGUUUAAUUUAAAUGUUUGGUUUCAAUUAUUUGUGAGCAAACCAGAAUGUUCAUGGUAUAUAUUAGUCAUUGUGCUGGGUCCAGAUGUAAAUCAUGGCCCUGGGAAGCUGGUAUGCUGGGAAGAAUAACAACAGUCUGUAAGCCUAGCCUGCUGCCCAGCAGGUACAGGUCAACACUUGUCACCUAUCCUGACAUUCUCCAGGGAUAAUUUUUUUUAAAAAAUGGCUUUCUACAAGAUACACUCGUUGAAAAAUAAGCCGACUUGUGUUGGUGAUAAAAGGGAAGAGGAAGACAAGUCUAAGUGUGUGUUAGUUCUUAAGCCAAAAAACAGAAGUUUCAGAUCAACUGAAGAGUGGAAGAUUAGACUCAGUGGUGGCUCAGAGCCUAAAAGUGACAGACUCCACCUAAUUCCUAACGAGUAAUAAGAAAAAGCAAUCUAUAAAACCAUUUCAAGCAAUCAACAGCAACACUAAUAACAGAAAACACCUCUUUGGUAAGCGAGAGAAGAAACUUCAGAGACAUCAAAAAGUGUUUAAUGUGUAGCAUGAAGACGUAACCCUUAAUGGAAAUGGGGUUCUGGAGUAAGGCAAUUACCUGAACAAAGAUUUCCACACAUACAAAUUUAAGGAUCACGAAGGUCUCCAGCUGUCAGUCUGGAGAAGAUCAGAGGCCCCCCGGCCUCCUUCCACCAACCUGCUCAUCAAUUUCACGCCCCUCUCCCAGCCCAUCCCAAUUGGGACGUCAUAGUCGUGUGCCAUCUAGUGGUCAAUAUGAUUACUGCAUGUAACUGCCUGGGGCUUUCUGUUUUGGUUUUAUUAAGCUUUCACUAACUCAUUGUUAUAAUAUGUCUGGUGCUGAGAAUAUAAUAGAGAACACGAUAGACACGGCCCUUCCUUCAGGAACCUCACAGUAUAGCAGGGUGAAUUAAACACAUAAAAUACAAUAUGAGAGGUACAAUCAAGACAUAUUAAGGGAGGUAAGGGAGCCCUGAGGAAGGACACCUAAUCUAGAUUUGGUGAUUGGAGGAGGCUUCCCAGAGGGAGGGCCAUUAAUGCUGGGAUCUGAAGGAUAAGCAGAAGUUUGUUAAGCAAAGGAGGGGAAGGAAACAGACAGCAUUUCAGGCAGAAAGGUGAGGUAUGCCUAAAAGCCAGGUGUCAAGAGAGCACAACCAGCUCAUGUUGGGUGCAAAGCUUUGUUAAGAACUUUGAACUUGGCAGGGUGCGGUGGCUCAUGCCUGUAAUCCCAGCACAUUGGGAGGCUGAGGCAGGUGGAUCACCUGAGGUCAGGAGUUUUAGACCAGCCUGGCCAACAUGGUGAAACCCUGUUUCUACUAAAAAUACAAAAAAAAAAGUUAGGUGUGGUGACAGGUGCCUGCAGUCCCAGCUACUUGGGAGGAUGAGGCAGGAGAAUUGCUUGAACCUGGGAGGUGGCGGUUGCAGUGAGCUGAGAUUGCACCGUUGUACUCCAGCCUGGGUGACAGAGUGAGACUCUGUCUAAAAAAAUAAUAAUAAUAACUUUGAACUUCAUUCAUGGGGCUGUGAGAGCCAUUUCUUUUCAGGGACAAAUGAAGAAAGCCUAUAGAAUUUGAAUUUCUCCUGGGCCCUGGCUUAUACCUCUUACCUCUUAGAGUCCAGACACUCACAACCCACCCCCUGAAGAGUGGAAUGAUGUUAUUCUUUAAAUUUUUGUUUUAUUCCCAGACCUAGGGGGUCGGAUAUCUCACUCAGAGAGGUGUUGAGAGCCAGCAAGCCAGAGAGGCAGACUGCCCCUGGACAGCUGGGAGCAGAGGGUUGUAAGUGCACCGCAGAGUGGGUGGAAAUGAAAUCUUCAUGAAAUGCUCAGAGAAUCUGACAGGAAGCUUCCCUCUGCUAACACUGCUUUUCAAUGACUCUUAUCGACACAAACCAGCCAAAGCAAAAGAGGGAAUUUUGAGUUUAUUUAAUUGAAAAGGCCAAGGGUAGAUAUGAAUCUGGUGUAAACACUGCCAUCAGGAACCAGUCUCCAAUUCUCAGCUCUACUUCUGCCCAUCUUAGCUUUGUUCUCAGGCUGGCUUGCUCUAUGUAUUGACAAAAGUCAACCAGCAGCUCUAAGUGUAGUUCUGCAGGUAACAAGCCCAGCCCAGAGACAGCACCUCUCUCCUGAUAGCAUCAGCAAAAAUCUUGAGGCUGACGUUCAUUGGCUUAACUUUGGGCCACUUGCCCAUCUCUGAACCAAUCACUGUGACCAGAAAAAUGGAAUUUUCUGAUUGGCCAGAUCUGUUUCUUGUGUUCAAUUUUGCAUCCAGGGUUGGUUCAGCCCCACCCAAAUUACACGGAGUGAGCAUAAAGAGUUCCCUAAAUAAAAAUAAGGGCCCUGUUUCUGGGAGAAGAGAUGGAGGACAAGCCAAACAAAACUGAGGCAUCCUCAAUUUGCCCAUGUGUGAGACACCCUCUUGCCAUUGGUCCCUGGAGCCAGGCUGUUCUUGGGCGCCUGAACAUCCGUUUUCAGUUCUGCUGCAGCCCCCACAGGCUUGGUCCUUGGGAAGGGGAGUCUUCCAGCACUGGGUAGCAGGCAGGAGUCACCUCCCCCACAGAGAGCAGUGACACCACAGAUGGUGCUUGCUGAAAAGGCAGUUCUAGGGAGUAGCAGGCACAGGUGGUGCUGCACAAGCCCCUAGCUAGAUUCCCCUAAUGUCCUUCAAGAGAGGCUGUAAAAGGAGAAAAAGAAAAUCAGAGACUUUAUGAGGGUAGGGGAAUGAGGACAGGCUAAAAGACUACGACUCCUCAACCACGGCGGCUGCCGACCCUGGGGAGCUGAUGGCCCUGGACUAGGAGGCGCUAGGGACUAUGUCCCUGCUCUGCCACUCUGGCCCUCCCUUCACCCUAGAUCAUCCCGCUGCACCCCAGCCCAUUCUGAACUGUGCAUUCCUGUGAGCACGCUCCCUCACUCCCUCACUCUUGGCACACACACACAUCUCCCGGCCCUCGCACUCAUUCAACCAGCUUAGGGCCUACAGAGGGCCAUGCUCCAUGCCAGGAGCUACCAUGGCUCCCCAGGAAGAGCCUACCUCAUGGAACCUCAUGGAACACACAAUUCAAGAAAGUGCAAUGAGGGCCAUGUUUUAUGAAUGCACUCUUUAUUUUUAUUGCACUUUUAUUGCAUUAAAUCAUACAUUAAGUGAUUCUCCUUGUAAACUAUUCCAAUCAUACAUUUACUACUGAAGCCACUUAACUCCCCUCUCCCCAGCCAGGCCCCUCCCUCAAAGUAAGUAGUCUGUUAUCCAUUUGAUGGAUAGCUGUUGAAAUAUUUUUCUACAUGUAUACAUCCUAAUAUGUUCACAUGCAGGAAUAUAUAGCUUUAGUUUUGUUGACAUCUUUUGAAGAGGUCUGAAAGGGUAUCCAGUGAGAAGUCUCCCUCUUACCUCAUCCCUCAGCUGUCCCUUCCUCUCCCAGAGCAGCCAGCCAGGUCACCAGUUUCCAGCAUUUCCUUCCAGCUAGGCUAGGCCAGGAGUCAGCAAACUUUGUCUGUAAAGGGCCAGAUCGUAAAUACUUCAGGCUUUGCAGGCUAAUGGUCUCUGCCCCAACUGCUUAACUCUGCCAUUGUAUUGCAAAGGCAGCCAUAGACAAUAUAUAAAUGAAUGAAUGUGGCUGUAUGCCAAUAAAACUUUAUUUAUAGACACAGAAAUUUGAAUGUCAUAUCAUUUUCAAGUGUCAUGAAAUAUUAUUCUUCUUUAGUUUUUCAACUACUUAAAAAUCUAAGCACCAUUCUUAGCUCCCUGCUGUACCAAGACAGGUGGCAGACUGGAUUUGACAUGUGAACUGGAGCUUGCCGACUCCUGGUCUGUGCAUAUGAAAACCAAGUAGGGAUGGACGUUCUUUCCCCUCUUUUUUACAUGAGGGGAACCUGCUAUGCUAAAGUGCUUUUCUCACUUUGCAAUAUAUCUUAGAGAUCAUGCCACAUGAGUUUGUACAAAAGGUCCUUGUUUUUGCCUUUGGCAUAACAUUACAUUGUAUUCCAUUAGUAUAUUUUACCGUAAUUUCCUUAGCCAAUCACUUACUUACCGGUAUCAGGCUAUUUCCUUCUGCUACUUAAAAACAAUGUUGCAUUGAAAACAUUGUACAUAUUUGUAUAUGUUUUUAUAAGAUUUUAUUGAAAUAUAGUUAAUGUACCACCUAAUUCACCCUUUUUAAGUGUACAUUUCGAUGGUUUUUAGUAUAUUUAGAGAGCUGUACAACCAAUUUCACAGUAAAUUUUAAAACAUUUUAAUUACUCCAGAAAGAAAUUCCACACCCCUUAGCUCUCAUCUUUCAGUCCUGUCCACCCCUUCCAGCUCAAGACAACCACUAUUUUCUGUCUCUACGGAUUUGCUUAUUUUGGACAUUCAUAUAAAUGGAAUCAUACAAUACGUGGUAUUUUGUGAAUGGCUUUGUUGAUUUUGCAUAAACUUGUUAAGACUUAUCCAUGUUGUAGCAUGCACCAGUACUUCAUUCCUUUUGAUUGCAGAAUAAUGUUCCAUUGGAUGGCUAUACAGUAUUUUAUUUAUCCAUUCACCAGUUCUUGGGUUAUUAUAAUAAUGCUGCUAUGAACAUUCACGUAUGAAUUUUUGUAUGAAAACAUGUUUUUAUUUCUGUUGGUUACAUACCUAGGAGUGGAAUUGCUGGAUCACAUGGCCAUUCUAUGUUUAACCAUUUGAGGAACUGUCAGACUAUUUUCCAAGUGGCUGCACCAUUUUACGUUCCCAUUUGCAGUAUAUGAGGGUUCCAAUUUCUCCACAUCCUCACCAACAUUUGUCUUUAUAUUUUGUUUUGGUUUUUUUAGACAGAGUCUUGCUCUGUCACCCAGACUGGAAUGCAGAGGUUGAUCAUAGCUCACUGCAGCCUUGAUCGCCCAGGCUCAAGAGAUCCUCCCGCUUCAGCCUCCCUAGUAACUGGGACUACAGGUGUGUGCCACCACACCUGGCUAAUUUUUAAAAAUUAUUUGUAGAGACAGGGUUUCCUUAUGUUGCCCAGGC
rnacentral:lncRNA from 1 species